UAUUAAGAAAUCAUUAGAUGAUGAACUGUAAAUUCAUAUUAGAACUAAUAUAACACCACUUUUAACUUU
rnacentral:tRNA from 1 species